AAAAACAAACAAAAUGGCGGCUGUUAAAGUUCAGGUUGAAUACUGUGGAAGCUGAGGUCACUUCCCUCGGUUUAGGCGUCUGAUGGAGGACAUCCUCUCAGAGUUGCCAGAAACCAAGGUGGUUGGAGAUGUCGGGAGAAACCAGUCAUUUGAGGUCUCAAUUAAUGGACAGCUGGUGUUCUCAAAACUCAAGACAUAUGGGUUCCCCAAAGCACAAGAUAUUAUUAAGGAAAUCCAGCGGGCUUCACAAGGGGAGAAAUAAACAGAAACACAUGAACACUGAAAUAUACCAGUGGUUUAGAUGACAAACUACAAGGAGGAUGGUUGGACACAAACAAAAAUCAGCAUUAAUUGUUUAUUAAAAUAUCAAUCAAGUAAAUUGAAGCAUGCUAAUGCAUGGGAAAAAGACAUAACAUGAAAAUACCUUUUUGAUGUUUUAAAUGAAUUUUGAAUAAACUAGUGAUGUAAGAGGAAGUUUUAAUAAAUGUAUGGAAUGUUGUGUACAGAAAUACUUUAUAACAUACAUUUGUACUUAUUUGAAUUACAUCAAACUCCAGAUUAAUAUACAUCAGCAUGGGGACCUGUGUUUCCCACAACAUUUGUGUGUUACUGUUGCCCGUAUCAUUCAAGCGCUCACCCUAAAGGUCAAGAUUACAAUUAUAAGCCAUUUGCUUCUCAUCAGACAAGACAAAAUCGGAGUCAUUUGACAGUAUCCUGUGACUGCCAUUGUCAAUUUUAUUUUCCACAAAUAGAUUCAUUUUAGUACCACAUAAAUUGUGUUAAAUAACUGUUGUGUUCUUGAGAUGAUGUGUUUCUCCUUUUUACAGGCCUUGUAAGUGUGUAAGGGAUAUUUCAAAUCCAGAUUUUCAGUUAAAUACUACACAAGCGCAUGAGGAAACUUAGCUAAACAAUUGAAGCUAUUUUUCUGAUUAAUAUUUUUGAUAAAUAUUUUUGAUGUUAGUAUUUGAGUGAUUGUCAGGGAUUCCAAUAUUUCCUUUUUUAAAGUAUUUUUAUUAUACAGAAGAUAUAUACGUUCAUGUUGCAAUUACAUUGUGUUGUUCAUAUACAUUCAAAUACAUGUAUAUAUUUUGUCUUCAAUAAUUAUACAUAUAUGGUUUCAUACCUUAUUAUUGUAAAUUCCUUUUCUUUAUAGACCACCUUUUCUGGUUUGAUUCAAUAUUAAUAUAUUAUUUUUGAUAUUUGUUAUUAUGAUGUGUUUAAAAAUGAUGUAUAACUAUCAAAGUUGCAUUUAAUAAAUGUUUUAUGUAAGAAAAUCAAAUGUAAAGAGAAAAGAUUUAUGAUUUAUCAUUCUCAAACAUUUCUGUGCAAUUAAACGGGUGUCUGUUGAAACUUUCUACUUCAAGGAUUGUUUCUGUAGUUUUUCAUAUAAAUAUUGAGGUUUUUCAAAGAUUGAUUCAAUAUGAAAAAUAACUGUUUUGAUAAAUUACUGUAAUUGCUAAAUAUUUAAUCAGUAAAAGUGUUCUUGCCGUUGAAGGGUCGGUCUCACACAAAGGGUUCAUGUUGGCACGUGUUUCUAUUUCGAAAUUCGACCAUGCAUGUAUUAAGUUGUUUUAGAUAAUUUGUAAUGAUUUUCAAACCAACAUUAUUUUUUAGUGGUCUAUAUUAUAUUGUGUAAACUACAUGUUCCCUCAAAUGGGGUCAGUCACUAUUUAUAUUUACCGCAUCACCUGAUUAAAAUCAAUAACUGCUGACAGCUGAUUUUUUAAAAUAAAUGUUCAGGUAAACAUAAGAAAUGAUGCCUUCUAAUUGGACAAAAUAUAACGUUGACCACUUAUCAUGAACAAACACUUGCAUUUAGCAAUUUGGGCCUAAAAUUAGGCUAGCCUUCCCCGCAUUGUGCAAAACUAUGGAUUACAAAUAAACGUAUAAUUAUA